CUCUUUCAAUAAUAAUUGCUGUUUAUAAUUAGCAUAUAUAGUUAUACCACGGUGUGCUGAGGGUGCUGGAUGCCACUGUCUCAUGGAGGAGGUAACUGCCCCCACCCCCACCCCCUGGUGGCGGGGGCGCUUGGGUGAUCAGGCCUUAGAUUCCCUGAUGCUGGGUGUGUCCCUGGCCAGCCUGGACCUCCAGCCUGCCCCCCUCAGCCUCUGUGCUGCCAAGGAUCCCAGCUCAGGGCAGGGCAGGGCUUAUCCCUGUUUUCAGGACAUGCAAGAGGCAUGGCCCAGGUCACAUAGCUGCUGGGUGGCCUAGGCCCACUGGCCCCCGCUCCUUGCCUGGCAGAGGCAUCUUGGAAGCAGCACAGCCUGUGUGGGGCUUGCUAACGUGGGCCUUGCCCUGAGCUGGCGGCCCUCAGGGGCAGGAGCGCUGCUGGGGAUGCCUCAGGCUCCCCAAGGCUGUCCCUGCCCCUCCCUCUUUCCUACAGAGCUGACCUCCCGGAGCCUGGCCUGAGGGCUGCCUGUUCAGGGAACUCGCUCCAGGAAGUGGUUGCUGUUCCUGGGCUGGGCUGCAGGGCUGGAGGGUCAGCCUGUCUCAGAUACGACAGUGGAGAGGGGAGCUGGGCCCCGAGAAGGCCGAGCUCUCUCUCCUCAGUAGGGCCCUCACCCUGCCCCACGACAGCUCUUUGCUGCAGGGAACCUGCUCUUGGCAAUGACAUCCAUGUAACCCGCUUCCCAGAAGACAGGACAGUGAGGCUGGCAGACUCAGCCAGUACCUUAGUGGAAAAUGGGGCAGGAGCCCUCGCUCCAGCUUCUCUUGGGAAUCUGAGUGGGGAGGUGGCCCGAAGAUGCCUUGCUUACCUGGAUCAGAAAUAACCUCAACUCAGAGUUCCGUGGUGGCUUGGUGUAUUAAGGAUAUCCAGCGUUAUCCCUGAUGUGGCUUGCGCUCCGUCUCUGGCCUGGGAAUUUUUGCAUGCUGUGGCUGUGGCUGUGGCAGAGAGAGAGAGGGAAGGAAGGAAGGAAGGAGGGGCCUCGGCUCAACUAGAAGCCUGGAGCACUCAGGCUGAGGAUAGAGUUUUGAGCCCCUGGAGGUGAUGGGAGUGUGCCCAGGAGCCUGAUCGGGGCAGCCACGUAGCUGGCCCCUUCCCCUCUGAGCCUUGUUGCCUCGUUUCUUUAAUGGACAUAACGGUGCCCUGUAGGAGUUUGUGUACUUCCGAGGCCUAUUCUGCACAGACAGAAGUUGUGGCAUCCUCUUCCUCCCCUUCCACGGGGACACUCGGGGACAAGGCUGGCGUGGAGAGCGUGCUAGUUGCACCGCAUGCUCAGGAGCGAGUGGAGGUCUCCAGGUAUCGGAUGGUCUGCUGUCUGCGGGUCUCUCCAAGGAUGGCGUUUCCUCUGGCCUCCUCUCUGGCCCUCCCUCCCCAGCCAGACCCUGCUGGGAUGGAGGUUCUGGACUGCGAAGCCGCCCUCCCUGCCCCCUGGCCCUUCAUGCCUCUCUCGUCUGGCCCCCUGAGGCCUCUUUCCCCUCCUUACAAGUCAGGACUCCGUCAGCUCCUAGGCGUUCCCUCUGGGACUGGGCCAGAGCUCCUCCCUCCCCCGACAGCCUCCUUGGGGUGCAGACGGACGGCCCAGCAUAGGCAGGAAGGGCUUUCUGUUUGCCUUGGCUGCUGGAGAAGAGAUUUGUGCUCACUUUCUGUUUUGACUGUUGUAUCUGAACACGCAGAGCCGGCACUGAUGCAGAAAAGCAGCCUUGGGUCUUGAAUCUCCAUCUGGCCACAGCGGAGAUGUCUGGAGCAACUAAGGGAAAAGAGGCAUUCCCUUGUCAUGGGAGUUGCCAGGUUGAUGGAACUGCUGGUGGCCACUCCUGUUUUCCACUUGAAGACAAAGCCAACAAAGAGGAAAGAGCCAAGAGGUGGAGAAAGUAUGCUGUCCAGACAUCAAUAAACCCCUGGAUCCAGCCAUACCUGAACUUAACCGCACUUUUGGACAAACCUGAUUAUAUGAGCCAAUACUUUUCUUUUUUUCUAAAACCAUCCUGUGGUUUGGGUUUCUGUCAUAGAAAGGGUCCUAAUAAAGAAAUUUUUUUGUCUCAUUAAAAAAAAAAUCAGCUUUGAGAUAUACUUUAUCUGUAAUAAAGUUCACCCAUUUUAAGUAUCAA